CCAGCUGCAGUCUUCUUGGCUGAUCCUUCAUCUUCAGCCACUUUGGAGAUGUCCUCCACAUCUUCAGCAGGGGACCUCAGUGCUGGAGACUCUUCUAGAAGCUAGCAGACAACAAGAAUUCAAACUGUGGUUAGUCAGUACUAUCUACUAAGGACCAACCUUUUUCUUCCUCAUCUGUCUCUGGGUCUUCAAGGAGCGCCUGAGGGUCUCUGCAGGGUCUUCGUGGCUGCUUUGAGGUUCCUGCUGCAGAAGGAGUGAGGUCAGCAGAUGGCGGACGUGCACACCGACCACUGGAAGUGUGAAGGAACAUGGAGGGAAGAAGAACGUGGAACACAACACGCACAAAGAAUGUCCAAAUCAGUGAAGAAAAAGAAGUUGGAAGAAGUUGUACUUUUCUUCAGGAAUGACACCUCGGAUGAUGGAGGUCAGGAGGAGAAACUUCCAGAAGAAAAGUGAAGAUUUCCCUGGGAGCCAAGACGAUGACGUCAGCAUCCAGAUGUGCACCAAAUGUGUUUGAAAACAUCACAUGCUGAAGAAGUAUUCACC